rnacentral:rRNA from 1 species
CACGUAGGGUGCGAGCGUUGUCCGGAAUUACUGGGCGUAAAGGGCUCGUAGGCGGCCAACUAAGUCAGACGUGAAAUCCCUCGGCUUAACCGGGGAACUGCGUCUGAUACUGGUUGGCUUGAAUCCGGGAGAGGGAUGUGGAAUUCCAGGUGUAGCGGUGAAAUGCGUAGAUAUCUGGAGGAACACCGGUGGCGAAGGCGGCAUCCUGGACCGGUAUUGACGCUGAGGAGCGAAAGCCAGGGGAGCAAACGGG